CUUUGGUGAAAUUGAAUACAAUACUGGGGAUAACUGGUGCGAAAACGGAACUGCUGUGACCUGUGCGGGGACCUGCGACACCCAGCCCUCGGGCCUGUCCUGCGAUACGACUAGCACAGUACCAAGCACUAUUAUGACUUCAACCGCUGGAGCCACAACCACAAUGGCAGCAACAACAACCGCUGCAAGAACAUCUAUGGCAACAAGCACACCUAUGGCAACAAGCACGCC